rnacentral:rRNA from 1 species
UACGGAGGGGGCUAGCGUUGUUCGGAAUUACUGGGCGUAAAGCGCGUGUAGGCGGCCUAGUGUGUCGGGCGUGAAAUCCCACGGCUCAACCGUGGAAGUGCACUCGAAACUGCAAGGCUGGAGUACUGGAGAGGGAUGGUAGAAUGCUCGGUGUAGAGGUGAAAUUCGUAGAUAUCGAGCGGAAUACCGGUGGCGAAGGCGGCCAUCUGGACAGUCACUGACGCUGAGACGCGAAAGCGUGGGGAGCAAACAGG